GUGACACUAAUUGAUUUGGCCAGAGGAUUGCUGUGAAACACAGAGGAUAUCAACAAAACAGAACAAUGUGUACAGCCUCUCUCAGCCCCAUACAGUCCAAUCAGUCUGACUCAGGCCAGGUGAGGCUGCCUCAACCAACCACCAUCCACACACAUGCACCCAAAUAUGUUCUUCUUAACACAACAAACGAUACCAGGAUUUGGCCAGAAAGGCAUUUGGAAAAGCCCACUCCAGACCUUCUCUCCACAUUGUCCGAGUGAUUACAGUGUCUGAAGUGUGAAUUGGGUUGUCUCAUCAACGGGUGAAAUUGCCUUAAUGACACCGAAGAAGCUCAGCUGGCCCAGUUGGUCCCCAAUCCCACAUAAUCACUCCUAUAUUCGAUACUGUGGAUCUCUGUGCUGGUCUCCUGAGCAUUAAAGAAACAUAAAACAAAUCCAAAUGUGCAAAUAAAGAGCUUUAGGAUUUUCCUGACGAAAAAUCCAAUUUCGAAUGGUUUUGCCAAACUAUGACCGAUGCGAUUAUUAUUCAUUAUUAAGUUGUGCAAUAGAUACAUAUAUACAUACAAAUAUGAAGAUAAAAUUGCAAUUAUGCAGGCCUGUGCGAAAAUAAAACUUUC
ensembl:lncRNA